GAAAUGUGAAAUGAAGAAUUACUUCCUAUUUUAACCAACUGUAACAAUUUUGUCAUACAGACAGAUAAUAUCCUUUUCAAAAGAGCAGAGAGACAACUUCCUGAAACUGAUCUGAAAACUAUGCGUACCUGGGACUGCCCUUUUGUUUUCCCUGGAUCCAAUCAUAAGCAUUCCAGUGAAAAGCUUUCUCCUCCUCCUCACCUGACUGAGAGACCUUAAGAAGUUAAAACAAAAUAAGGUAAUGAUGUCUAUUGCUGAGAAGCUAACACUGAUGCCAUGGGACAGCUUGGACUGAAGAGCUCAGAUAUGAUAAAGAGGAUUUUGAGUUUCUUACAAGGUCUUUCAGAAUAAAUAAAAGAAUUCCAAUGAGAUGAUCUGUCUA
rnacentral:lncRNA from 1 species